UUCACUCAUAUAUGGGAGACAUCCAGAGAAUAAGUUCUCAAAGAGAUGGCUUUGAAUUCUAGCUUACACAGUAUCUUCAACAAAGAAUGUAAAUUUUUAGAGAAUUUAAAGCAAGAGAAAAGAAAAUGACUUUUGAGUCUCUAUAGGUAGCAAACUGGAGGGAAAGCAAACUAAUGCCGGACAAAGGUUACUAAAGCUAAUAUUAAUUCAUCUUGUGUUAUCUCAAGGUAGAUGAGAGUUUGAAGCUGUGUUCAGUGGAUAACUCUUUCUUCAUGGGGGAGUGGGGCAGGAUUACUUUUGUCUUUGUAAUCUAUGUCCUUCCUGCUUUUAGACAAAAAGAGAGAGGUAACAGUGCUCUUAAACCUGCUUCUUGUCUUCAGCUCAACAAUCUUUCAUAUUUUCGGUAGGCAUAUUCUGGUCUCCCAAAGUUGAUAGGUUGUUUUUUGAUUUUCUGAAUUUAGACAGUGUAAGAUGAUUGUCCAGGCUGAGUAUUGCAAUAAAGUCAAUUUCAUCUAGGUCAUUUUCUCCAUUUUUCCAUCAAGCUUCUUUCUGGUGUUAAAAGCUGACCUUUAAUUCCCAAUAGGUGUAUGCUGCAUUUAUACCCAAGUAAAAGCCACACAUCCAUCAAAUAUUAGUUGCGUACAGUACUAGAUCCCAGCAAUCCUUUGGGACUCAUAAAUUCUCACUAUCAGUUGUUCUGAUUGGCCCUCAAAUGCUGAGCUCAGGCUACCCCCACUCCCACCCCCGGCUUCUGUGAAGGGCGUUCCCUCUGUCCACAGAAGCCACAGGAACACGAACACGCGGGCUUUGAGGCCCCACGUUCCUCUCGGGAAUCUUCGACAAUUGGCGUGUGCUCUUGAAGAUUCCCUCAGUGAUGCUGUAGUCCUAAAGGCCCAGUGGCCUCUCACCACAGUUAGCAAGCAUCCAUCUUUUCAGCAGCGCGUAGAAAAGGGCCUUUCUCCAGCUCCCCGUCCUGGCGGAAGUGGCCUGGCGCCCAUCCGAUCCCUCCUUCCGGUUUGCCGCCUCCGACUUCCGGCGGCGGGUGGGCGCGCGCCAGGCAACGACCGUAUAAGCGGUCACUAGGCAGGCGACGGCGGCGUGUGGAUGGAGGCCUCGGCCCCGGGCCGGGCGCGGCGGGGCUGGCGAGGGGCUCGGAACGCGGGCUCCCCGCUCUCCAGGGCCGCUGUCAUCCUUUUUCUCUCCGCCUUUCUUGUGCGGACGCCCGAGUCAGUUGGAUAUUUGGUUCGAUUGCCAAGAGGUUUUCGCUUGACUCAAGAUUCGUUGAAAAUAGUGGGAUCAGCAAGUUCUCCAGUAAAAGUAUAUGUCAUGCUCCAUCAAAGGAGCCCACAUGUGUUAUGUGUAACUCAACGACUGCGAAAUGCUGAACUGAUAGAUCCGUCAUUCCAAUGGCAUGGACCAAGAGGAAAAAUUAUUUCAGAAAACAGCACUGCACAAGUAACAUCCACAGGAAGCCUUAUAUUUCAGAACUUUGAGGAGGCUAUGAGUGGAGUUUACACAUGUUUCCUCGAGUUUAAACCUACUGUGGAAGAAAUUGUUAAAAAUCUUCAACUAAAAUAUGUUAUAUAUGCUUAUCGCGAGCCUCAUUAUUAUUACCAGUUCACAGCUCGAUAUCAUGCAGCUCCCUGCAAUAGUAUCUAUAAUAUUUCUUUCGAGAAGAAACUUCUUCAGAUUUUAAGCAAACUGGUUCUUGACCUAUCAUGUGAAAUUUCCUUACUUAAGUCUGAAUGCCAUCGUGUUAAAAUGCAGAGAGCUGGUUUACAAAAUGAAUUGUUCUUUACAUUUUCAGUUUCAUCUCUAGAUUCUGAAAAAGGACCCAAGCCAUGUACAGAUCAUAAUUGUGAAGCUUCAAACAGAUUAGCUAAGGCUAAAAAUCUCAUAGAGAGAUUUUUUAAUCAACAAGUAGAGGUUCUUGGCAGACGUGCAGAGCCAUUGCCUGAAAUAUACUAUAUUGAAGGUACUCUCCAAAUGGUUUGGAUUAAUCGCUGCUUUCCAGGUUAUGGAAUAAAUGUCCUGCAACAUCCCAAAUGUCCUGAAUGCUGUGUUUUAGGCCAUUACAAAUAGAGCUGCUAUGAACAUUCGUGUACAAGUCUUUGUGUGGACAUAUUUUCAGUUCUUCCUGGAAAAUACCUAUGACUGUGAUUGCUGGGUCAUACGUGAUCUGCAGCCCUGGAUCGUAUAACCCCCGUGAUGGAAUUCACUGCCUUCAGUGCAAUAGCAGCAUGAUUUAUGGAGCAAAAGCAUGCAUAUAGGCUAAUAUCUUAAGUUAUUCAGUGGUUUAUUAAACACAAAAGUCUAUUUUUAAAAUAUUAGUAUAUAAUAAAUCCCUAUUAUGCCAAAAU